rnacentral:lncRNA from 1 species
GCCCAAGCCCAGCAGACAACCGCCCGACGUCACACUUAUGCCGCUCGGCGGUUUCCCUCAAGCCGCGCUACCGCCCGGCGACAGGGGUUUACCACCCGGCGGUUUCCCCCAAGUCGCGCCACCGUCGGGCGGCAGGGGUCUUCCGCCCGACGGUUUGCCUCUAAUCGCAAAUCCGCCCAGCGUCCACGCCUGGUGCCAAC